rnacentral:sRNA from 1 species
UGCAUCUGUAGCCUAAAGAGGAUGAGAACCUCCGGGGGCAGGGAGGUUCGACUCGAGCGAAGCGAGAGAACGUUGCGCCAGCAACGGCCCGCAGGGCGAGCCACGAAGUGGCGAGUAAUCCUCUAUCACCGACCA